rnacentral:rRNA from 1 species
UUCGGUAGGUGACCUGCCGUUGGAUCAGU